rnacentral:tRNA from 1 species
GGGGGCAUCGCAUAGCGGCAAUUGCGGCGGACUGUAAAUCCGCUCCUUCGGGUUCAGUGGUUCGAGUCCACUUGCCCCCACUA